UUCCCGCAUUUAGAAACGUUGUUCUGUUAUGAGGAUGAACAACAAGAAGCCUCAUGAAGCCUGAAGAACGGUAGGACACAAGCGGAGGACUAGCCGAUUGCUAAAAUGUGGAUGUUGGUUGCUCCCACACACAAUUUGCCACACCAUCGGCAAUAUAACGCCACGCCAUUGCAACCUCCGAUGACCGCGGGCUUCAAUCAACAGCUCAACGACCUACGUUUCUGACAUCUCUUGAUGAAUUCUAGAUUUUACUGGGUUACUAUUGUUUGGCGGGUUGACAAAUGCGUCUAAUCUAUAUAAUCUCCCGGACUCCACAUAUUGAAUCAAAAACCAGAAAACGCACUAUAAACUGCUUUGCUACCUCGCAGAAGAUUGGUUUUCUGGUCUUACUUAGUCCGACGCAAGCUGUUAACAACGUGAGUUAUUUCCAUUGAAGAAUGGUCUUUGAUUUGGUUUUCUCCAAAAUCUCACAUGAGCCAAACGAAAGUGAAGAUGAAGGAGUACUAUCAUACAAGAAUAAUGCGAAUGACACCCUUAAAGAAGCAUACAUAUAU
rnacentral:lncRNA from 1 species